AAUUUCAGACAAGGGGCGCAAGCCUGAUCCAGCCAUGCCGCGUGAGGUAAGAAGUCCAUCGGGUUGUCCCGCGCUGUCGGACGGAAAGAAAUCGCGCAGGCUAAUACCCUGCGCGGAUGACGGUACCCACAUAAGAAGCACCGGCUAACUACGUGCCAGCAUCCGCGGUAAGACGUAGGGUGCGAGCGUUAAUCGGAAUUACUGGGCGUAAAGCGUGCGCAGGCGGUUGAUUAAGACAGGCGGGAAAUCCCCGGGCUUAACCUGGGAACUGCGCUUGUGACUGGUCAGCUAGAGUACGGCAGAGGGGGGUGGAAUUCCACGUGUAGCAGUGAAAUGCGUAGAGAUGUGGAGGAACACCGAUGGCGAAGGCAGCCCACUGGGCGGAUACUGACGCUCAUGCACGAAAGCGUGGGUAGCAAACAGG
rnacentral:rRNA from 1 species